AUUGAACGCUGGCGGCAGGCCUAACACAUGCAAGUCGAGCGAGCGACGGACGGGUGAGGAAUGUCUGGGAAACUGCCUGAUGGAGAGGGAUAACUACUGGAAACGGUAGCUAAUCCCGCAUACCAUGAGAUGUGCGCAGAUGGGAUUAGCUAGUAGGUGGGGUAAUGGCUCACCUAGGCGACGAUCCCUAGCUGGUCUGAGAGGAUGACCAGCCACACUGGAACUGAGACACGGUCCAGACUCCUACGGGAGGCAGCAGUGGGGAAUAUUGGACAAUGGGCGCAAGCCUGAUUCAGCCAUGCCGCGUGUGUGAAGAAGGCCUUCGGGUUGUAAAGCACUGUCAGCGGGGAGGCGUUACCCGAAGAAGAAGCACCGGCUAACUCCGUGCCAGCAGCCGCGGUAAUAC
rnacentral:rRNA from 1 species